CACAGUUUUCACAAAUGCGUCCUGUUGCCAUGGCACCCUCUGUAGGUCCUCGCAUGCCCAUGUUUCCACCUGGUGUUCCUGGAGUUGGUCAGCAGCUGUUUUAUGGUCAGCCACCUCCAGCCUUUAUCAACCCUCAGGUAUUAUGUUGUUCACUUUUAUGAUGUAUAUAUAUGCUGCUUGGUGUAUAUGAUAAUUUAUCUUUAUUGACAUGAAAUCUUGUGUAGUGUGUGUACAAAAGAAAUGCUGAUAUAACCUCCUCAUGGUUUCCAUUUCUUCUAUUAAAAGCCUUAAAGAUUAAGAAGAAAUUAGCUGCUUAGUGUUUGCUCCAUGAAUUAGCUUAGCUGCCCCGCCCCCUCCCUAAUGUUUGCAUCCUAGCUCCAUCCCAUUCUUGACAUACACUUGCUUGUUGGCUUCUUUGUUGUGAAAGUUUGAUGAAUACAAAUGAAAAUUCAUUGUGAAUAAUUCUUUAUUGAUAGUUUAUAUCUUUUUUUUUUUACGUGAUGAACAUGAACCCAUCUGUUUUUUCUUAAUAUUUGUGGAACUGAUAAGUGUUGUGAUGUUUUGUUAGGCUGGGUUUGCCUUCCAGCAACCUCUGAUGCCUGGGAUGAGGCCUGGCGGUCCAAUGCCAAACUUUAUGAUGCCGAUGGUUCAGCAAGGACAGCAACCACAACGUCCUGCUGGUAGGCGUGCUGGUGCUGGUGGAAUGCAGCAACCCAUGCCAAUGGGUGGUCAGCAACAG
rnacentral:lncRNA from 1 species